rnacentral:lncRNA from 1 species
ACUCAUUCCUUGUUCACAACCCCUUACAGGAGAACGGAAUUAACAUCAAACAUAAUUAGCCCCAGGGCUAUCCACAACAAAAGGGAAACUGAAAUGGGAGAUUCAUUUAUCUCUCUCCUGGAGGAGAUCCUGAGGAGUCAUUCUCCAAGAUGGUGUAGAGGUGAAGAGCCCAUGAACUCUCCAUGGAGAACACACAGACAGUAGCCUAGAGCUAUGGAGAUUGUGGAGGUGAACAGGAGAAUUCUUCAUACCCUCUAUAAGGCUCUGAGCUCCAAAUGCCUCUUCACCUGGCCCAUCUGCUCAUUGUUGGCCUCUGAUACAGAUUUCUAGGUUCACCGCCCUGUCCCUUCCAUGAGUGGCCACUCCUCACUGCUGCUGUC